rnacentral:lncRNA from 1 species
UGAGGAGUGGUUUAAAAAUUGAUACCUUUGCACUUGUUCUAAGUAAACUUGGAUGUUACAGUAAAAUUCAAGUUCAAGAAACACAUUUGGAGCCUGUAACCAAUGCAAGCAGGCUCAGUCCAAUCUUAAUCUGUGCAAGAGUUUUCAGUUGCCUGCACCUAAACACCUGGGAUCUCUAGGUCAGAACUGGCUCAUUUUGCUUCUGCUUCAUAGUGAUAUUGAGGAUAUUGCAUAUUCCACUGAUGAGCCAGUGUUCAAGUCUUGGUAAUGUGAAUAAAUUUGUAUUUGUCAUAUCUUAAGUAUCAGAAAGCAUUUGGUAAUUAAAAUUAUUUUCCAAA